rnacentral:rRNA from 1 species
AGUGAACGCUGGCGGCAUGCCUAACACAUGCAAGUCGAACGGCAGCACGGGGAGUUGUUGCUCUUGACGGUAGCGGAAGGCGGGCGGGUGACAUAUGCAUAGGCACCCUAUUGGUCGGGGGGGAUGCCGAAGGAGCACUAAUACUACUGCCGAAUAUCUGCUACGGGAGGGAGCACUGGGGAUCCGGGGCUUUAGGGUUGGUAGUAGCCGGUGUCGCAUUAGCUAGUUGGUGGGGUAAAGGCAUACCAAGGCGACGAUCCGUAGCUGGUCUGAGAGGAGGAUCAGCCACACUGGAACUGAGACACGGUCCAGACUCCUACGGGAGGCAGCAGUGGGGAAUCUUGGACAAUGGGCGAAAGCCUGAUCCAGCAAUGCCGCGUGAGUGAAGAAGGCCUUCGGGUUGUAAAGCCCUUUUGUUGGGAAAGAACACCUGCGCCUUAAUACGCGCCGGUCUUGACGGUACCUAAAGAAUAAGCACCGGCUAACUACGUG